UACAGAGGUCCCAAGCGUUGUUCGGAUUCAUUGGGCGUAAAGGGUGCGUAGGCGGCGAAGUAAGUUGGAUGUGAAAUCCCGGGGCUCAACCCCGGAACUGCAUUCAAUACUGCUUUGCUAGAGUAUUGGAGAGGAGAUUGGAAUUCACGGUGUAGCAGUGAAAUGCGUAGAUAUCGUGAGGGAGACCAGUGGCGAAGGCGAAUCUCUGGACAAUAACUGACGCUGAGGCACGAAGGCUAGGGGAGCAAACGGG
rnacentral:rRNA from 1 species